rnacentral:rRNA from 1 species
CUAGCUGUAAACGAUGGAUACUAGGCGUUGAGAGUAUCGACCCUCUCAGUGUCGUAGCUAACGCGUUAAGUAUCCCGCCUGGGGAGUACGCGCGCAAGCGUGAAACUCAAAGGAAUUGACGGGGGCCCGCACAAGCGGUGGAGUAUGUGGUUUAAUUCGAUGCAACGCAAAGAACCUUACCAGGGCUUGACAUGUCCGGAACCCUGCCCAAAGGCGGGGGUGCCUACGGGAACCGGAACACAGGUGGUGC